rnacentral:rRNA from 1 species
GGUUAAGCGACUAAGCGUACACGGUGGAUGCCCUGGCAGUCAGAGGCGAUGAAGGGCGUGCUAAUCUGCGAUAAGCGCCGGUAAGGUGAUAUGAACCGUUAUAACCGGCGAUACCCGAAUGGGGAAACCCAGUGUGACUCGUCACACUAUCAUUAACUGAAUCCAUAGGUUAAUGAGGCGAACCGGGGGAACUGAAACAUCUAAGUACCCCGAGGAAAAGAAAUCAACCGAGAUUCCCCCAGUAGCGGCGAGCGAACGGGGAGGAGCCCAGAGCCUGAAUCAGCAUGUGUGUUAGUGGAAGCGUCUGGAAAGGCGCGCGAUACAGGGUGACAGCCCCGUACACAAAAGCGCAUGUGCUGUGAGCUCGAUGAGUAGGGCGGGACACGUGGUAUCCUGUCUGAAUAUGGGGGGACCAUCCUCCAAGGCUAAAUACUCCUGACUGACCGAUAGUGAACCAGUACCGUGAGGGAAAGGCGAAAAGAACCCCGGCGAGGGGAGUGAAAAAGAACCUGAAACCGUGUACGUACAAGCAGUGGGAGCCCCACCACUAAGCCAGUGGUGAACUCCACAUCCGCAUCCUUUGCUGAGGAUACGGUUAACGGAGCGAAAGCGACGUUCAACCGCAAAACAAGCAGAGGGGGCUUAGUGGUGGGGUGACUGCGUACCUUUUGUAUAAUGGGUCAGCGACUUAUAUUCUGUAGCAAGGUUAACCGAAUAGGGGAGCCGGAGGGAAACCGAGUCUUAAUUGGGCGUUAAGUUGCAGGGUAUAGACCCGAAACCCGGUGAUCUAGCCAUGGGCAGGUUGAAGGUUGGGUAACACUAACUGGAGGACCGAACCGACUAAUGUUGAAAAAUUAGCGGAUGACCUGUGGCUGGGGGUGAAAGGCCAAUCAAACCGGGAGAUAGCUGGUUCUCCCCGAAAGCUAUUUAGGUAGCGCCUCGUGAAUUCAUCUCCGGGGGUAGAGCACUGUUUCGGCUAGGGGGCCAUCCCGGCUUACCAACCCGAUGCAAACUGCGAAUACCGGAGAAUGUUAUCACGGGAGACACACGGCGGGUGCUAACGUCCGUCGUGAAGAGGGAAACAACCCAGACCGCCAGCUAAGGUCCCAAAGUCAUGGUUAAGUGGGAAACGAUGUGGGAAGGCCCAGACAGCCAGGAUGUUGGCUUAGAAGCAGCCAUCAUUUAAAGAAAGCGUAAUAGCUCACUGGUCGAGUCGGCCUGCGCGGAAGAUGUAACGGGGCUAAACCAUGCACCGAAGCUGCGGCAGCGACGCUGAUGCGUUGUUGGGUAGGGGAGCGUUCUGUAAGCCUGUGAAGGUGUGUCGUGAGGCAUGCUGGAGGUAUCAGAAGUGCGAAUGCUGACAUAAGUAACGAUAAAGCGGGUGAAAAGCCCGCUCGCCGGAAGACCAAGGGUUCCUGUCCAACGUUAAUCGGGGCAGGGUGAGUCGACCCCUAAGGCGAGGCCGAAAGGCGUAGUCGAUGGGAAACGGGUUAAUAUUCCCGUACUUGGUGUUACUGCGAAGGGGGGACGGAGAAGGCUAUGUUGGCCGGGCGACGGUUGUCCCGGUUUAAGCGUGUAGGUGUGUGUUCCAGGUAAAUCCGGUUCACUUUAACACUGAGGCGUGACGACGAGGCACUACGGUGCUGAAGCAACAAAUGCCCUGCUUCCAGGAAAAGCCUCUAAGCAUCAGGUAACACGAAAUCGUACCCCAAACCGACACAGGUGGUCAGGUAGAGAAUACCAAGGCGCUUGAGAGAACUCGGGUGAAGGAACUAGGCAAAAUGGUGCCGUAACUUCGGGAGAAGGCACGCUGACACGUAGGUGAAGUGAUUUACUCAUGGAGCUGAAGUCAGUCGAAGAUACCAGCUGGCUGCAACUGUUUAUUAAAAACACAGCACUGUGCAAACACGAAAGUGGACGUAUACGGUGUGACGCCUGCCCGGUGCCGGAAGGUUAAUUGAUGGGGUCAGCGCAAGCGAAGCUCCUGAUCGAAGCCCCGGUAAACGGCGGCCGUAACUAUAACGGUCCUAAGGUAGCGAAAUUCCUUGUCGGGUAAGUUCCGACCUGCACGAAUGGCGUAAUGAUGGCCAGGCUGUCUCCACCCGAGACUCAGUGAAAUUGAACUCGCUGUGAAGAUGCAGUGUACCCGCGGCAAGACGGAAAGACCCCGUGAACCUUUACUAUAGCUUGACACUGAACAUUGAGCCUUGAUGUGUAGGAUAGGUGGGAGGCUUUGAAGUGUGGACGCCAGUCUGCAUGGAGCCGACCUUGAAAUACCACCCUUUAAUGUUUGAUGUUCUAACGUGGACCCGUAAUCCGGGUUGCGGACAGUGUCUGGUGGGUAGUUUGACUGGGGCGGUCUCCUCCUAAAGAGUAACGGAGGAGCACGAAGGUUGGCUAAUCCUGGUCGGACAUCAGGAGGUUAGUGCAAUGGCAUAAGCCAGCUUGACUGCGAGCGUGACGGCGCGAGCAGGUGCGAAAGCAGGUCAUAGUGAUCCGGUGGUUCUGAAUGGAAGGGCCAUCGCUCAACGGAUAAAAGGUACUCCGGGGAUAACAGGCUGAUACCGCCCAAGAGUUCAUAUCGACGGCGGUGUUUGGCACCUCGAUGUCGGCUCAUCACAUCCUGGGGCUGAAGUAGGUCCCAAGGGUAUGGCUGUUCGCCAUUUAAAGUGGUACGCGAGCUGGGUUUAGAACGUCGUGAGACAGUUCGGUCCCUAUCUGCCGUGGGCGCUGGAGAACUGAGGGGGGCUGCUCCUAGUACGAGAGGACCGGAGUGGACGCAUCACUGGUGUUCGGGUUGUCAUGCCAAUGGCACUGCCCGGUAGCUAAAUGCGGAAGAGAUAAGUGCUGAAAGCAUCUAAGCACGAAACUUGCCCCGAGAUGAGUUCUCCCUGAGACUUAGAGUCUCCUGAAGGAACGUUGAAGACGACGACGUUGAUAGGCCGGGUGUGUAAGCGCAGCGAUGCGUUGAGCUAACCGGUACUAAUGAACCGUGAGGCUUAACCUU